UACGUAGGGGGCAAGCGUUGUCCGGAUUCAUUGGGCGUAAAGAGCGUGUAGGCGGCCAGGUAGGUCGGUUGUGAAAACUGGAGGCUCAACCUUCAGAGGUCGACCGAAACCAUCUGGCUAGAGUCCGGGAGAGGAGAGUGGAAUUCCUGGUGUAGCGGUGAAAUGCGUAGAUAUUGGGAGGAACACCAGUGGCGAAGGCGGCUCACUGGACCGGAACUGACGCUGAGGCGCGAAAGCGUGGGGAGCAAACAGG
rnacentral:rRNA from 1 species